GCCAGCAUAGCACAGUGGCUGAAGUGUUGGACUAUGACUCUGAAGACCAGGGUUUGAUUCCCAGCUGAGGCA